UACGUAGGGGGCAAGCGUUGUCCGGAAUCAUUGGGCGUAAAGCGCGUGUAGGCGGUCCGGUAAGUCGGCUGUGAAAGUCCAGGGCUCAACCCUGGGAUGCCGGUCGAUACUGCCGGACUAGAGUUCGGAAGAGGCGAGUGGAAUUCCCGGUGUAGCGGUGAAAUGCGCAGAGUAUCGGGAGGAACACCAAUGGCGAAGGCAGCUCGCUGGACGUUACUGACGCUGAGACGCGAAAGCGUGGGAGCAACAGGA
rnacentral:rRNA from 1 species